rnacentral:rRNA from 1 species
UGGGGAAUUUUGGACAAUGGGCGAAAGCCUGAUCCAGCAAUGCCGCGUGUGUGAAGAAGGCCUUCGGGUUGUAAAGCACUUUUGUCCGGAAAGAAAUCCUUGGCUCUAAUACAGUCGGGGGAUGACGGUACCGGAAGAAUAAGCACCGGCUAACUACGUGCCAGCAGCCGCGGUAAUACGUAGGGUGCAAGCGUUAAUCGGAAUUACUGGGCGUAAAGCGUGCGCAGGCGGUUUGCUAAGACCGAUGUGAAAUCCCCGGGCUCAACCUGGGAACUGCAUUGGUGACUGGCAGGCUAGAGUAUGGCAGAGGGGGGUAGAAUUCCACGUGUAGCAGUGAAAUGCGUAGAGAUGUGGAGGAAUACCGAUGGCGAAGGCAGCCCCCUGGGCUAAUACUGACGCUCAUGCACGAAAGCGUGGGGAGCAAACAGGAUUAGAUACCCUGGUAGUCCACGCCCUAAACGAUGUCAACUAGUUGUUGGGGAUUCAUUUCCUUAGUAACGUAGCUAACGCGUGAAGUUGACCGCCUGGGGAGUACGGUCGCAAGAUU